rnacentral:siRNA from 1 species
AGGCUAUCAAAAACGCUCUGACUU